AGGAUGAACGCUGGCGGCGUGCCUAACACAUGCAAGUCGAACGAGGGGGGCAACCCCCGAGUGGCAGACGGGUGAGUAACGCGUGGUCAACCUACCCUAGAGUGGGGAAUAACUAGCCGAAAGGUUAGCUAAUACCGCAUGAUACGUUUUGGGACAUCCCAGGACGUUGAAAGGAGCAAUCCGCUCGAGGACGGGACCGCGUCCGAUUAGCUAGUUGGUGAGGUAACGGCCCACCAAGGCUCCGAUCGGUAGCUGGUUUGAGAGAGCGACCAGCCACACUGGGACUGAGAAACGGCCCAGACUCCUACGGGAGGCAGCAGUGAGGAAUUUUCCGCAAUGGGCGAAAGCCUGACGGAGCGACGCCGCGUGUGGGAAGAAGGCCUUCGGGUCGUAAACCACUGUCGAAGGGGACUAUACUGAAGGUACCCUUGGAGGAAGCCCCGGCUAACUACGUGCCAGCAGCCGC
rnacentral:rRNA from 1 species